GACGAACGCUGGCGGCGUGCUUAACACAUGCAAGUCGAACGGUGACCUCGAGAGCUUGCUCUUGGGUGAACAGUGGCGAACGGGUGAGUAACACGUGAGUAACCUGCCCCUGACUCUGGAAUAAGCGCUGGAAACGGCGUCUAAUACCGGAUAUGACACACCCUCGCAUGGGGAGUGUGUGGAAAGUCUUUCGGUCUGGGAUGGACUCGCGGCCUAUCAGCUUGGUGGUGAGGUAAUGGCUCACCAAGGCGAUGACGGGUAGCCGGCCUGAGAGGGCGACCGGCCACACUGGGACUGAGACACGGCCCAGACUCCUACGGGAGGCAGCAGUGGGGAAUAUUGCACAAUGGGCGCAAGCCUGAUGCAGCGACGCCGCGUGAGGGAUGACGGCCUUCGGGUUGUAAACCUCUUUCAGCAGGGAAGAAGCGCAAGUGACGGUACCUGCAGAAGAAGCACCGGCUAACUACGUGCCAGCAGCCGCCGUAAAAC
rnacentral:rRNA from 1 species